UAUAGUUCAGAGACAGUGCUCAUACAUUAUAGUAAAUGACUACUGUUUUGAACCAUGAAA
rnacentral:pre_miRNA from 1 species